CACGUAGGUGGCAAGCGUUGUCCGGAUUUACUGGGCGUAAAGAGCGCGCAGGCGGUCGGAUAAGUCGAAUGUGAAAGCCCCCGGCUCAACUGGGGAGGGUCACGCGAUACUGAUCGACUCGAAGGCAGGAGAGGGUAGUGGAAUUCCCGGUGUAGUGGUGAAAUGCGCAGAUAUCAGGAGGAACACCAAUUGCGAAGGCAGCUCGCUGGGACGUUACUGACGCUGAGACGCGAAAGCGUGGGGAGCAAACAGG
rnacentral:rRNA from 1 species